rnacentral:rRNA from 1 species
AAAACAGUCCACUUUGUGGCCUGUUAUCGGAAUGGGUACAAUUUAAAUCUUUUAACGAGGAUCUAUUAGAGGGCAAGUCUGGUGCCAGCAGCCGCGGUAAUUCCAGCUCUAAUAGCGUAUAUUAAAGUUGUUGUGGUUAAAACGCCCGUAGUUGGUUUUUCGGUCUCGAAGCUCGGUAGCUCGUAUGGGCUUAACUGAGUCUUCCGGCCUAAAUUUCUUGUACUCUCCCGAUGCUCUUUAUUGAGUGUCUCGAGAUGCUAGAACGUUUACUUUGAAAAAAUUAGAGUGCUAAAAGCAGGCUAUACGCUUGAAUAAAGUGCAUGGAAUAAUGGAAUAGGACUUUAGUUUUAUUUUGUUGGUUUUCGGAAUUAAAGUAAUGAUUAAGAGGAACAGACGGGGGCAUUCGUAUUGUUGCGUUAGAGGUGAAAUUCUUGGAUCGCAGCAAGACGAACAACUGCGAAAGCAUUUGCCAAGAAUGUUUUCAUUAAUCAAGGACGAUAGUUAGAGGUUCGAAGGCGAUCAGAUACCGCCCUAGUUCUAACCGUAAACUAUGCCAACUAGCGAUCCGUCGGUGUUAAAUAUUGACUCGACGGGCAGCUUCCGGGAAACCAAAGUUUAUAGGUUCCGGGGGAAGUAUGGUUGCAAAGCUUAAACUUAAAGGAAUUGACGGAAGGGCACCACCAGGAGUGGAGCCUGCGGCUUAAUUUGACUCAACACGGGGAAACUCACCCGGCCAGGACACAAUAAGGAUUGACAGAUUGAUAGCUCUUUCUUGAUUUUGUGGGUGGUGGUGCAUGGCCGUUCUUAGUUGGUGGAGCGAUUUGUCUGGUUAAUUCCGAUAACGAACGAGACUCUAGCCUAUUAAAUAGACGAUAUAUCUUAUUAGUAUAUCGAGCUUCUUAGAGGGACGAGCAGCUUCUAGCUGCACGAGAUUGAGCAAUAACAGGUCUGUGAUGCCCUUAGAUGUCCGGGGCUGCACGCGCGCUACAAUGAAAAUAGCAGCGCGUUUCGAAAACCCUUUCUGGAAAGUAUUGGUAAACGCGAAAUAUUUUCGUGAUUGGGAUAGGGGAUUGCAAUUAUUGCCCUUGAACGAGGAAUUCCCAGUAAAUUCGAGUCAUCAGCUCGAGUUGAUUACGUCCCUGCCCUUUGUACACACCGCCCGUCGCUACUACCGAUUGGAACAUUGCGUGAGAUCUUCGGGCUGACGUCGAAACGAACGUAAAAAUUCGAUUCGCGCGUUGGAAAGAUGCUCGAAUGCAACGUUCUAGAGGAAGUAAAAGUCGUAACAAGGUUUCCGUAGGUGAACCUGCGGAAG